rnacentral:rRNA from 1 species
GAUGAACGCUGGCGGCGUGCCUAAUACAUGCAAGUCGAACGAGGUGCUUUUGUAGCAAUACGAGGGUAUCCUAGUGGCGAACGGGUGAGUAACGCGUUGGUGACCUGCCCCGAAGUGUGGGAUAACAGUCCGAAAGGAUUGCUAAUACCGCAUGUUGCCAUCGGGUUUAGAAACCGAUGUCUAUAGCAGCAAUGCGCUUUGGGAGGGACCUGCGUCCCAUCAGCGAGUUGGGGAGGUAACGGCUCACCAAGGCGACGACGGGUAGGGGGCCUGAGAGGGUGGCCCCCCACAAUGGAACUGAAACACGGUCCAUACACCUACGGGUGGCAGCAGUAGGGAAUAUUGCACAAUGGGCGAAAGCCUGAUGCAGCAACGCCGCGUGAGCGAAGAAGGCCUUCGGGUCGUAAAGCUCUUUUCUGGGAGAUGAGAAAGGACAGUGUCCCAGGAAUAAGUCUCGGCUAACUACGUGCCAGCAGCCGCCGUAACAC